rnacentral:sRNA from 1 species
GUGGCAAGCAAUUUAAAGUAAAGAAGGAAAAUGAAGUAAGAAAAAGGCUUUUCUUUAAAAGAAGACAUGAUAAUUCCGAAGAGCCAACCCCAGGAUAAAUUAGAAGUAAUGCUCUCCAGCAUCGGUUGGCAAGCUUUGAAGGAAAUCUUAUCCUUAAGGUCACAUGGAGGCCACUUCUAGUUCGACUUUUUAUCUUAAAGUCCUCAAAAUCAGUCUAGAGAAGAACAACAGGAGACUGAACUAAGACUACAGGAGAGAGUAAAAUGGUGGACCGUGCUAUCAUUGGAAGUGUAUAUACCAUUGAGAGAGUGGAGGGGGACAGCUCACCAAAGAGAGGCAGCUUUCCAGUCCAUCCUGUGGUCUUGACAAGAGCGUCAACCCAUUCAUAUGGACCAAUGCAUGGAGGGUGAAAUAUUUUUGUCAUUGCCGAGAGGUUUGGAGGGAAAACUGCUGAUAAAACUAUAAAUGGAAGGAGCUGUGUAGGCAGAGUGGAGUCAUUUGAGUGAGAGGGAGUUUCAUCUAUCAUCGUGUGAGCCCAACAGAGAAGACAUAGUGGUAUAAAUGUGCUAAUUAAGUAUUUGGAGUUGAGCCUUAGAGAAACAAAAUGCAAGCAGUUAAAGAGUUUGCCUCUGGGGACUGAGAAGCAAAGGGAGGGAGGCAAAGAAACCAGAAUUGAUGGUUUUCUCCAGGAGCCCUUAUGUUGUUUUUGGUUCCCAAGCUAUCCGUAUUUGUUACUUUGAAUAAAAAUAACAAUGAAAUAAAAACUAAAGUAUAAUAGUGGAAAUGUUGUAAAAGGAGAACGUUUAUUAGCAAUGUACUAAAACUUAACGAAAAGCUAUCCAGGAAAAAACUUAAAACACAAUUGGAAGAUUCAACUUAAGUUGAGUAUUGGGAGCUGAGAUCCUGUAGGACUAGUUUGGAAAAGAUAAUAAAAUUUUAAGAUAAUUUUAAUUAAAGAAAAUAAUUUACUUUUAAUUUAACACAAAUUUAAUUAAAAAUAACGAUAUUAAAAGUACCCGAGGAUCAAAAUGGUACAAAGUAGCAGACCAGAAGGAAGCAAAUAGUCAGGGAUGGCCCCUCUCUGCUUUCACUGGAACAUUUAUAUGGAGCUUUGUGAUAACUUGAGAACCAGUAUCGAAAACUAAUUAAAACAUGAAAGCAUCUAAGAAUUAGUGGCACUGACAGAAGAUCAUCGAUAAAAGGGGGAUAAUGCAGUAGGGGAAGUGUUUUGUAGGUUUUUAUUGAAGAUGGGAUCAAAGGGAUUCACACACUUUAAUUGUCUGUUGAAGCAAUUAGAUAAAAGAAAAGAAUCAUCGUAGGAGAGGUCGUUCAUAUUAAAGAUGGCAAGAACUUGACAGGAGAGCAAUCAGCCUCUUCCCCCAGUCACCACCUGGAGAUCACCUUCAACACUUCCUCUGUGCUCCAGGACAGCAGCUAGUAUUCUUGUGAUAUGAAAAAUAUGCUAUAGAUAAAUCCAAGUAGGAUUGGGUUGUGAAUAAAUAAAUCCCUUAGCUCCUGUUGAACUUACCUUGAAAUUUGAGCAAACCAUAUAUAGGUUUAAGGCAAAGAAGUUUUCUAUUUUAUUCUGUGGAACACAUGGAAAGUAUCUCCUAAAGCUAGCUGGAAGAGCCCAGAGAAUUGGAUACACAGGCCCUACAGCCAUAGACAUUGUCCAGCAACCACAGUUCACCAAGUUUUCAGACUGUAAUUAGCGGUUUGGUUUGAGUCAAACUUGAGACACAGGAAAAGACAUUAGCAACUCAUUAUACAGAAUAAACAAAUUGAGGUUAAAUGUUAAGUGGCACACUCAAGAUUAGAAAUCAAAUUAAUAGGAAAUCUGAACCUAGAUGUUAAGUGGCUGGUGUUGCAGUCAAGGGCCCUCUCAGUAAAUAAUAACUUUCACAUCACAACACAUUAAAUUCAUUCAUCACCCUGAGACCAAGGCUUAGAGUUAAGGAACAGAUUGUCAGCAUUGUAAAUGUCUACAUUCAGGUAUGGCUAUUCUUAGUACAUCUUGGUCCUUCAAAAGGUUCGCAGAAAGGUAUAGUAUCAGAUACUAGAUACUACAGAAUUAGAAGGUAUGGCAGAAACAGGGGGCCUCUGCCAGUCAACAUCCCAAUCUCUGGAUGAAUCAUGCCCUGUGCCUCUUCCCACAGCUUAGUUAAUAUUAGCAUCCUUUUACUUUUUAAAUAGUAUCCUAUACUGGAAAAUAAUUACCCAUGUGCCCCUUGUUUAUCUGUACAUGCUGUGAUUAGGCAAUAAAUAUUCCCUCUUCUCUCUUUUAUUCUUCCUUACUUUUCUCCUCGCUCAUUAGUUUUCGAGAACAGGUCUUGUUAUAUAGUUCAGGCAUUUCUCAAACGUAUUAGCCUUCUGCCUCAGCCUCCAAAGGACCAUGAUUACAAGUGUGUACCAUGAUGCUUGGCUCCUGGAUUUUCUUUCCAAAGAUGCUUAUUUAACAAACAACUUUGAAGACUAGACACAAUCCUUCACUCUAGAGAAAAGUCUAAGCAUGUUCUUGUCACAAUAGAAAAAUUGAGUUCAUUAAAUUGAAAGUUUCUCUCCCGUAGAACAACCAACUCUAACAGAGUCUAUGUGCAUGCAGGCAUAUAUCUGCUGUGCUUUUCGGGUGUUCAUAGGAGGCAAGUUUCUCUGACAUACAAAUGGUCUGCAGCUUAGUGAGGAAUAUACUUUUCAUGCUGACCCCAGGGGUCCUGGGUCUUGCUAGUAUUGAGGAAUUUGUGUUAAGCAAACUUGUUUUCUAGCAAGCUAGGUAAAAACAGAGUCUUAAGCACUCUUAAUAAGCAUCUCUUUAUCUUUUAAAAAUGAGUAGCUGACUUGGGGCUGGAACCCUGCUGUAGACUACAUUUCCCACAUGCCUUUGCAUGAGGACUCUGGUAGAGACUACAUUUCCCAUAUGCCUUUCAACGAGCAUGUGAUCCCUUUCUGGCCAAGAAGCCAGACAAUACUUUGAGAUCACAAUCAUAAAGGCAAUGACUACACAUGACCCUUGACCUUCUCUUUAUCUUAGAGAGAGCUAGCCAAAUGGUGGCAUUCAGAGCCACGUAUUUUAGCCUUAGGAUAGAAAUAAAAUGUUGUUGAGAGUGACAGAGCCUCUCUGUUAGCCAGGUGUCCUAUAGUAUGGGAAGGGGCUAGGAGCUUCUACUUGAAUAUAUGUGGUUUUGGCUGCUUUAAUGGAAGCUUGAUGUACACAAGGAGAUGAAGACAUGACCUUUGGGAGUCUGUGCUACACUUAUUUUUAAUAGAUGAGAAAAUGGAGACCUGGGAUCAAUAAAGGACUCGCACAUAACUGCAGAGUGAGCAAAACUAGAGCUAAAAUUCCUAAUUAAACGACCUCUCCAACUCCCGUUUUUCAUAUAGCUCAUGGCCAAUGUACCCAAUAAUAUUGAAUAAAUAAGCUCAGAGGUCCAGAGAGGUAGGAGUGCGGGGAAGUCUUUACAGUGAGAGAAAUUGCAAGUGUAACAACUGAUAUCAAUUAUCGCGCCCCAGAUGAGGAGAUGAAUAUGGAGACAUAAUUUGAGCUUCAUGAGCUGACGAUCGAGGUAAGACUGAGAAAUUGCUGGGGUAAAAAGUACUCAGCGGAGGAUGAAUGAUUUACACCACAGUGACGUGGUUGGUGGUUUCUUUCAAUUUUCAUUGUUAUGUCCCAGAAGCCCAAUUCACUGCCUUUUUGGAACAGCUUCAUUAAGCAAGUGAAAUUUGAAGAGGGAUCUGAGAGAGUCGAAAUAGCUUUCAUGGCUAAUGGGCGAAGGAAAACUGGCUAAGAACUGACUUCAUAAAUCAUGCAGUAUCUUGUUUAAGACAUUUCCUAAAAUGCCUGUGGGUGUGGUGAAGAUGUAGCGUUUUUUUAAGGCAAUGUUUGUGAUCUGAAGAACAUAUCGUUUUGUGGAGUGGCAAGAGCAACAUUAAAAACAUGGAUGCGAUUUUAUACCCAGGAUGGAGGUAGACAAUUUCCCAGAGAAUAUUCAAUUUGAAAGAUGCUGACGUGUUUAAGAAAUAUCCUUUAGGAAGGUGAAGUCCUGUAGACAAUGGCCAAAUGAUUCCUCCUUUAGUUGGAAAGUAUAAAUGAAGCAAGUUUUAUUAUUACAGUUGUUUUAAAGUUUUGAAGGGAUUAUUGGAGCUCUCCUUGAAGUCUUAUGGUUUUAUAGAUUAGUGUGGGAGUAGGCUUGGGUUAUAAAACUACCUAAAGAUGAAAUGAAAACUUUUAUAGAGUGGUUGCUUUUGGAUAGACAUUGAAAAUUCCUAGGUGUCAGAUAUAAAACUCAAGUGGGGAAGUUGCUUUGGGCUGGGACUCAUCAAAUGUGUUCUCCUAGAGCAAAGGAGGAUGAACUCAGGGCUCUUAAAGGAGCUGUGAAUCAAUGUGGCCCAAAGAAAUCCAUGGGUGACAUUCAGAAACUUUUUUCUAUGUCUGCUACCAAAAUUUUACGUUUGGAAAAAAUUAAUUGUGGCAAAACACUCUGCAUUACACUGACUAGUGUAAUGUUCAUUGUGCGGUGAAAGCAAUUUUUCUGUACUUUUGCAUUCUCUGAAAUUACUCUGUUCCCAUUAAAUUCUAUUUGUUCCAAUCUACAUUGCCUGGAAAGCUCUCUAGGAUCUUUUUUGUUAGAUUGACUCAAAUAUUCUAGAUAUGUCAUGUAAAUGGAAAGACACAGUAUGUAUCUUUUAAAAAUAUUUAUUUUUAUUCUUGAGAUUAUAAAUUAAUAACAACGUCUUCUUGCCCCUUUCUUCCCUCCAAAUUUUCCCACUUACUGUUUCCCUCUCUUCAAAUUCAGAGCCUCUUUUUUCAUGGUUAUUGCAUACAUAUAUGUAUAUGUAUAUUUACUUACAUAUGUAUUAUAUAUAUAUAUAUAUAUAUAUGUAACCUGUUCAGUAAAUAUAAAGCUACAUAUUUAUACAUUUUCAGGCUGGCCAACAACCACUUGGUGUGUUCUUCCCUGGAGAAGGUUACCUCUCCCAUUUGCAGCUUCCUCGGUUGUCUAGAAUUCUUGUUGAGGUCUCCUGGACUUUUCCUCAUGAAGUUUGGCAUGCUCCUUAAUAUAAUCCUUGUUCAGGGUAGCCAGUCAUGUUGGUGAGGAAUUGGGGGCAUAGCUUCUGAUGUUAGGAGAAGACAUCCCACCUCAAACUCCCUUUUCUAUUUCUUGAAACCUUUCUGUCCCUGUUUUACAAUGUUCUCCGAGCUUUAAGUGUAGGCAUGGGACAUCCACUGGGACUAGGAUCCAGAGCUCUGCAUUUUGACUUGUUGUGGGUUUCAGUGGUCUCUGUCUGUUUCAAAGAGAUGUUUCCUCAAUGAAGGGUGACUCUUACAUAAGUCCUUAACAUUUAAUUACAGUACAGCAUAUGUUAGCAUCUCCUUUUGAUAUCUGAUUAAUAUUCAACUAUAUCCAUAUCAGUUACUUUUCUCACUGCUAUAACUAAAUACUUGGGAAAAAAACAACGCAGAGUAGAAGGGUUGAUUUUGAAUUUCAGUUCAGGAGGAUGUGUCUGUCAUGGUCAGGGAAGAUAUGACUGUGGUGGGGAAAGUGUCUGGUGGCACUGCAGCAGAUGACAGUAAGAGGAAGCGGGCAACAGGACUCCGAGAGACCCACUUUUUCAAGAGAAGUUUCUAAAAAUCCCAUAACACAAAACAGGACCACUGGUUAGUGACCAAAUGGUCAAACACAUGUAUCUAUGGAGGGCAUUUUAUAUUCAAACCACAGCAGUUUUAUUAUUAUACAUUUUUGUUUAUCUAUUUUCUCUGUUGAUGAACACAUCCUUCAUUUUCCCUGUUCAGUUACUUUAAACAGUGCUGCAGUACAUUGAGAGAUGCAAAUAACUCUUGGGAAUCAGUUUUGAAUUAUUUUAAAUACUCUGCUAGAGGUAAAAUUUCUCUGUCCUGUGGUGAUUAUGUCAUUAAUUAAGAAAAAAACUGCUGUUUUUUUUUAAAGUGAAGUCGUGUCAUUUUUUAACCCCAAUCUAUUUUGCAUGAAUGCUCAGUUGUAUCCGUGAAUGGAGAGACAUCUUCACCUUUGAUAUAGUCUGAUUUACCUUAUUUAGUUAUCUGUGACUUUAAUGCCAUGUCCAAGAAACCACUGUUAACUUCACCGUAGUGAAGUGUUUAAUUUCAAUUUAAGUGUUUUCAAAAUAUAACUUUCAGUAUUGUAUUUACUUUUUAUUUUGUAUGUUUUGAAUGUAUUUUUAACUGUAUAAUGUAUCUGUUAAAAUUAAUGUAUUUUUGUAUUAUCUUAUUUCUCAGCACCUUGAAAAUUACUUUUUCUUUAUUUGUGUUGUCACAUCUGUUGAAAGUUGUUAAAUUUUCUAUUGUGAAGUUUUAUUUCUGAAUUCUUUAUUGUGCUCUAUUGUAUAUGUGUGUGUGUGUGUGUGUGUGUGUGUGUGUGUGUGUG